rnacentral:rRNA from 1 species
UCCGUAGGGUGAACCUGCGGAGGGAUCAUUACUGAGUUACCGCUCAUCAACCCUUUGUGAACAUACCUUAACUGUUGCUUCGGCGGGUAGGCGUCCCCUAAAAAGGACGUCUCCCGGCCCUCUCCCGUCCGCGGGUGGGGCGCCCGCCGGAGGAUAACCAAACUCUGAUUUAACGACGUUUCUUCUGAGUGACACAAGCAAAUAAUCAAAACUUUUAACAACGGAUCUCUUGGUUCUGGCAUCGAUGAAGAACGCAGCGAAAUGCGAUAAGUAAUGUGAAUUGCAGAAUUCAGUGAAUCAUCGAAUCUUUGAACGCACAUUGCGCCCGCCAGCAUUCUGGCGGGCAUGCCUGUUCGAGCGUCAUUUCAACCCUCAAGCUCUGCUUGGUGUUGGGGCUCUACGGUUGACGUAGGCCCUUAAAGGUAGUGGCGGACCCUCUCGGAGCCUCCUUUGCGUAGUAACAUUUCGUCUCGCAUUGGGAUUCGGAGGGACUCUAGCCGUAAAACCCCCAAUUUUACUAAGGUUGACCUCGGAUCAGGUAGGGAAUACCCGCUGAACUUAAGCAUAUCAAUAAGCGGAGGA